rnacentral:lncRNA from 10 species
AACGCAGGCUUCUGACAGCUUUGGAGAUUGUGACAUUGGAAUAAAGGAAAAACGUACAGGACUCAUGAAGCGCUGAAAUGUUCACAAAUAUCAAGCAAAAGUCAAUGAAAUUUAUUUUGAGCUAUUUACAUCAUUUAAUAAUUGAGCAAGGUAUACUCCUAUGAACAAAAUUUGGAGCAUGUUUGUCUCUCUCUGUCUGCCUGGCAUCUACAGAAUUUGGAAACUAGUUUCGUUCCCAGAUUUCCUAAACUUUCCAGAGAAAAUGGUCUUCUCCCUGGCUCAGCAAGAAGAUGAACUUUAAACACUGAGAAACUGGUCAUCUCCCUGGCUCAACCAGAAGAUGAACUUUAAACACUACUCUCAAUGACUUGAUGUUCCCAUCACUACUCCUGUCAUAAAGGGAGGGGACUCAGAUAUUGAGAAUUUUAUGAUAGUGUGAACUGUCUGGUAUGUCAUUUAAGUAAGCCCGUUGCUGAAAUAUUUUCCAUGUUAUUAGAAAGAGCUGAAGAGAGGGAUUGAGAUGGCUUCUUUAUUUUUUGUCUUUUGGGAAUUAAAGGAACCUGGUUCAACAAGGGCCUACACCUAAGUCUCUUGUUGUACCAGAGUACAAUUUAGGACUGCUCCUGAGGAAGGAAUUAGCUAGAAAUCUAGAGAGUAAGGGUAACAGAUUUACAUAGAAUAACAGCCUCAGUAUUUUUGGUUCCUCUCCAGUAAAGAUCACAAAGAAUAUUGCUAAAUCGCUAAAACACCUUUGCAAUAACGUAAGGGCUUACAACUAUAUACCAAUGUAGCUCAGUUACUAAACUGGAGUAAACUAAUUUCUCUUGUGUAGAAAAAUUGGUUGGCUGUGGUUUUAUAGCAGAUCUGCAAUUAUUAAUAGUUAUGCCAAUAAUCGUUUAACAGUGCAUAUGUUAAUAUAUAUGGAAAGACAAUGUGUAUAGACAGAUGUGUAAAAUUGAAAAAUAAACAUAUAACAAGAGAGAAACAUCUAUCGAACAGACAAUAUACAUACACAUCAAACACAACAGCAGUUUUAGUGACCAUAAUAUUUAUUUCUCAUUUUUACAUUGCUUACUUUAGUGACAACUGAAAAUGACAGUUGGCAAUGCAGCUAACAGUUUCAAUAAAAGUAUAAAACAAAAGACUGUGUACAAAGCACCUGUCUUUCCGCUUUUGUAAUCUUCCGUUGGAAAAAAUUUACACACCUAAGUAACCAUCUGUUUUCUUCAAGAAAAAAUCAUUCUUAUUUCUCUCUCUCAUCUUGAAAACAGCUGUCAGCCAGGAGGGCAGAGCUGAAAUUUAUUGCCACAUCACAUGAAGCAUAGAACAGACUCCACUACUCCUUGAGAUUCAAAACUUUGCCUCUCACAAAGUUACCUUUUAUUUUCCUCUUGUUUGUCACUCAUCUC